GAAAACCCUCGCUUCUCUAAGAACAGCCUUCUCAUGGGGUACCCAAGUUUGAGAAAAACAAACUCCCCGAGAAAACAAGGAGAGAAAAAUACAUAGAGAGAUCCAAUUACCAGAAAACACAAGUUCGUGAGACAGAGGGUUUUGCUUUCAGUUCAUCUCUUCAUCAUCAUCAUCAUCAUCAUGCAUCCGAUUCCCAAAAAACACAACUUCUUGAAGCAGAGGGUUUUGCUUUCAGUUCAUCUCUUUAUCAUCAUCAUCAUGCACCACUAAUAGCUGAAGCUGCCAGCAUGAUCUGAGCCUUCAAUAGAAGAAGCUGUCAGAUCAUCUGGCAGUUUCAACUGUUGCUGUGAAGCAUGAGAAAUCCCUAAACCAAAACCAGAAACCCUACUUCUUCUCUGAUCUUCGCGUUGAUCUUGCCGUUCACAAUUUCAAGGACCCCUCUUGAGAUAAGGUUCAGCUAAUCAACAUCGGCUUGUUUAAAAAGGGUUUCAGAUUCAUCUUGAAUGCAGUGGUCUUUUGCAGAGGCACAACAAGAAAGUUUCUUCCUUACUGACGAGAAAAGCGGCAAUACAUAUCCAACCGGCUCUGUGUAAGCCUAUGUCACUCAAUCGCACAGCCAUAGAAAAAUGAUAUGAUCAAAUCCAUUAGUUCACGCAUAUAUACGUGAAGAUCGUGAUAUAGCAUGGUUUCUUCUCAGGGUUUUAUUUUACAAGUUUUGCAGAUUGUUCCAGGGAUUAGUGUAGCUAGAUUUGAGGUGAUUCCUUUACAAGGCAUAUGGCUGAUGUUCCUGGAGUUGUGAAUUUUUCGAACCAUAUUAUGGGUUCUACUUUAUCCCGAGAAGUGUUUCCACAAGGUUGGAAUUAUCUUGUUGAAGUGGUAGAUCUACUGCAAUUAUUACAAAAUUCAUUCUGGUUGAGAUAUUAAAUCAGCAGGAAAUGACCGAAUCACCAUCUUCUAUUUCUUCUUCGUUGGAGAAUUCAUAAUCGUUUUAUCUUUUUUGUAAUAGUCACAGGGAUGGAUCCGAAUGCCGGAGUCAUCCUAUCCUUGUAAUGCCUUCAAUAUAGACUUGUUGUAUAUUCACUGAUGCCUCAAUUAAUUUAACUUGGACCAC